rnacentral:lncRNA from 1 species
AGAAACAGCCUAGCCCCUGAAGGCAGGGGCCUGUAGAGCUUAUUCCUGCGAUCCAAGUCUGAUGUCACAAAGAAGGGGGUUUCAGGGGAAGGGAACUCCUAGGACCAGGGAAAUGAAAAUGCUGCCUGCUUGGUUCUCCUCUGGCAUGCUAAGGACUAUUCAAAUUCCCUGUGACCUACAGAUGCUACUCAGCACCCUGGCUGCUUCCUGGUCCUUCCACAGAAGCAAAAUGGAAUUUCAGCACCUCUCUUGUAGCUUCCAACAGCACCAUGCCAGCACAGAGUGUCUGGAAGGUCACACACUCUGUGGUCAUCCAUCAGAGCCAGUAGGAGGACAUCCACAGGAAGAACUUGCCAUUUUCAGUGGAAAACAAGUGACAGUUACCGACUAUGAUGACCUUGUUGACUAUGACCUUGUACUUUGGAUCUGGUUUUGCUGCACCUUCCUUUAUAGUAAAACAACUGCUUAAGAAAUAAGAUGUUUUAAUUAAUUCAUUUAACAGAUAUGAAAUUUUUUCCAAAAAAAAUUUUUUUUGAGACAGAGUCUCACUUUGUAGUCCACCCUGGCCUUGAACUCUUGAUCCUCCUGUUUCAGCCUCUUGAGCACUGGAACUAUAUACAGGUGUGUACCAACAGCCUAGCUCUGAAAAAAAUUUUUUUUUUUUUUGGUACUGGGGAUCGAACUUGGGACCUUGUAUUUGCAAGGCAGGCGGUGGAACCACUGAGCUAAAUCCCCAGCCCUGAAGGUUUUUGUGGGGUUUUUUGGUACCAGGGAUCGAACUCAGGACAUUGCGCCUGCGAGGCAGGAGGCAGAACCACUGAGUUAAAUCCCUGGCCC